UAAAUCCCUAAUCAGAACCCCAAUUUCCCUUUCCCAGCCGCCAUUACUCUUUCCUCUUUCUGAAACACCAACACAGCUUCACCCUCUCUCAAUGUAACAAACACACGCACACUGAAGGAAUGAGAAUCAGAGAGAAACAGAUCAAAGAAGAGAAGAGGGAGUCCGAGAGAGAAGGAGCGCGCCGGUGGAGGGAGGAGCUCGUGCCAUCCUCGUGAACCGCCGCUGUCUCGCGCCGUGAAUCCCGUUGUCCUUGCCACGAAGCCAGCGCCGCCAAGCCAAGCACCGUCGCGUCACUGCGGCUAUGCCGCCAUCGGAUGAGGAGAGAGGCGACAGAUGGAGAGAGAGAGUCCGCGGUGGAGAAGAGGAAGCGCGCUCGCGAGGGAUGUCGAAGCUACGCUCCGCCGCUGUGUUGCGCGAGGUCGCCGCCGUCGCCUCAAGGCUCGCCAUCGUCAUCCUCGGCGGGUGCCCUUGCUGCUGCAGGUGGAGACGGAUCCGCCGCUGGUCUGAGCUAAGAAGAAACGCAUGGAGAGGUGGUGAACAAAGCCAUCGUAGGAAACGCCGUCUAGAAAAGGUUCAGGUCGCCAUUGAUGGGGCUAGCUGAAAUUGUUCCGAGGGUUUUGCCGUUGAGUUUGAUUUUGUUCUGUUUCGGUUGAAGCCGUUUCUGCCUCUAGUCGCCGGAAAACCACCACUACUCAUUCUGCCCCACCUCUGUUUCGUUAGGGUUUGCUACUUUUCAUGAAUAAAUUGCUACUAUUCAGUGUUGAUGUUGCUGCUGUUAUUACUGCUGGUUCUAAUGCCAUUGCUACUGUUGAUGUUAAUUUGGAAUAAGUGGGUUUGUCGCCUUUGCCUUCUCGGGUCGAGUUCCGAUUAUUUUAUAUCAAAGUUAAGGUUGCUGUUGGACCAUCGGAGUUUCUGGCCGCUGUCGGAGCUGCCGCCGGGUCAGCUCGGGAUUGUGGCUGUUCCAUUUUACUCUUACUGUAGGAUUGAGUUGUUGGAUUGCCUGUUGCAAUUAAAACCGUUUCUGCUAUUGCGAAAGUGAGCAGACCUGCGAUUGAAGCUACAGUUUAUUUCGGGCGGAGAGGAAUGAUUCUUAUGACGCCUUUAGUUUAUGGGUUCAACUUUCGAGGAACCGAAUGAAGAAGCACUAAGAAGAGUUAUACUGCGUUUGGUUUAUAUGUUGUUGUAUUAAUUAGAUUAUUUUCUUCCCUCGUCUUUGUUAUUACAAUUUUGUAAGAGGGAUAGGAGUUGUAUGUUUGAUACAUAUACAUUAUAUUAUAAGAUAUUAUGUAAGAAGUCUUGUAUAUGAAUCUAUGCUUGCUUGUUUAUUUUAGAUGAAGUAUGUAUUUCCGGUUUAUAAAGUGAUUAGCAAUACGGUGUUGAGUCACAGGCUCCUAUUUUAAUAUUUAGUAUGCAAAGUAGUCGUAAUACUUCUUGCUAUCAGAGUUGCGCAGCCGGAAGCGUGACUUCUGAUAGUGAGGGUGUUACAAAAGAAAUAUACCAUUUAAACACAAAAGAAUGCAAUAUUUAAGCACUAAUUAUCAAUUACUUGUAUGAAAAAGCAUAGA